UAACGUCUCAUAGUGGUUAUGGCGUGUGACUCAAGCGUAAGCUUACUAGUAUUAUACUAGCGCAUUCUCAUUGGUUUUACCAGCGGGGGUUCGAAUCCCCCACUUGUCAA